rnacentral:rRNA from 1 species
UUGGAGGGCAAGUCUGGUGCCAGCAGCCGCGGUAAUUCCAGCUCCAAUAGCGUAUAUUAAAGUUGUUGCAGUUAAAAAGCUCGUAGUUGAAUUUCGGGAUUAGUGCGCCGGUCGUGCCUUCGGUAUGUACUGGUGUUACUGGUUCCUACCUUCUGACGAACCGUCAUGUCAUUAAUUUGGUGUGGCGGGGAAUCAGGACUGUUACUUUGAAAAAAUUAGAGUGUUUAAAGCAGGCUCGCGCUUGAAUACAUUAGCAUGGAAUAAUGAAAUAGGGCGUUCGAUCCUAUUUUGUUGGUUUCUAGGAUUGACGUAAUGAUUAAUAGGGAUAGUUGGGGGCAUUAGUAUUCAAUUGUCAGAGGUGAAAUUCUUGGAUUUAUUGAAGACUAACUACUGCGAAAGCAUUUGCCAAGGAUGUUUUCAUUAAUCAAGAACGAAAGUUAGGGGAUCGAAGACGAUCAGAUACCGUCGUAGUCUUAACCAUAAACUAUGCCGACUAGGGAUCGGAUGAUGUUAUUUUUAAUGACUCAUUCGGCGCCUUACGGGAAAC